UGGGGAAUAUUGGACAAUGGGCGCAAGCCUGAUCCAGCAAUGCCGCGUGUGUGAAGAAGGCCUUCGGGUUGUAAAGCACUUUUAUCUGGAGCGAAAUCUGCAGGGCUAAUACCCAUGCAGUCUGACGGUACCUGAAGAAUAAGCACCGGCUAACUACGUGCCAGCAGCCGCGGUAAUACGUAGGGUGCAAGCGUUAAUCGGAAUUACUGGGCGUAAAGCGUGCGCAGGCGGUUAUGCAAGACAGAGGUGAAAUCCCCGGGCUCAACCUGGGAAUUGCAGUGGAUACUGGGGAGCUAGAGUGCGGUAGAGGGUAGUGGAAUUCCCGGUGUAGCGGUGAAAUGCGUAGAGAUCGGGAGGAACACCAGUGGCAAAGGCGGCUACCUGGACCAGCACUGACACUGAGUCACGAAAGCGUGGGGAGCAAACA
rnacentral:rRNA from 1 species